AACGAACGCUGGCGGCAUGCCUAACACAUGCAAGUCGAACGAGACCUUCGGGUCUAGUGGCGCACGGGUGCGUAACACGUGGGAAUCUGCCCUUUGCUUCGGAAUAACAGUUAGAAAUGACUGCUAAUACCGGAUGAUGUCGAAAGACCAAAGAUUUAUCGGCAAAGGAUGAGCCCGCGUAGGAUUAGGUAGUUGGUGGGGUAAAGGCCUACCAAGCCGACGAUCCUUAGCUGGUCUGAGAGGAUGAUCAGCCACACUGGGACUGAGACACGGCCCAGACUCCUACGGGAGGCAGCAGUGGGGAAUAUUGGACAAUGGGCGGAAGCCUGAUCCAGCAAUGCCGCGUGAGUGAUGAAGGCCUUAGGGUUGUAAAGCUCUUUUACCAGGGAUGAUAAUGACAGUACCUGGAGAAUAAGCUCCGGCUAACUCCGUG
rnacentral:rRNA from 1 species